rnacentral:lncRNA from 1 species
GCUGCCGGGGGAGAGCUGUCCAGACCUCCAGCUGCCUGCCGCCGUGACAAGGAGGGACGUCUCCAGGAUUGGGCUGGCCAGUGAGAACGGGGUCUCCGUCUCCUGUGACAUGCCCACCAGCCUCUGUAGCCUGACUCUCGGUCUCUAGCACCAUGGCAUAUCUGCUGGCCUUCUGGGCACCAUCAACAAUGAAGCAGGCAAUGAGCUGAUGUUACCUGACGGCUCUGUGGCCCGCAGCCUGGAGGAACUCAGCCUGGCCUGGCAGGUGGAUGGUGACUGCAGGGCCACCGAGAAGACUCAGCAGGCCUGCCCAGGACAGAGCCCCGCCUGCCGGGCCUUCUUCCAGGACCUCCGUUCCAGCUUGGGGAACUGCUUCUGGGUGCUGCUCUGUAAGUUUGGGCUGUAGCCUGAUGUUCAUCUACACCAGCCCUAGCCAACUGCGGCCAACAGAUCAUAGGGUUGUGACUCUUGGAAUUGGAAGGCAUUCUACAGACAGUGUCUUUUCCAGGUGCCUUUUCUCAUCAACCAUUAAACCACAAACAGGCCAAGUGACAAAGCACUCAGUUCCUUCACACGGUCAUUCCUCCCACCUCCCGCUUCGCCUGAUGCAGAAGAAUUUGUCAGUCAAACUUCAGCAUUACAGGAAUAUGCAACAGAAAGAAUUAGAAUUAGAGAACUCAGCAAUGCAAAAGCUGGUAAAUGAGGAUUUUCUGCAUUUUGGGGGGUAA